rnacentral:lncRNA from 1 species
CAAUCAAAGGAGCACACAUGCAUGCCCAGCCCAACCUCUCUAUCUGCGUACACACGGUGCACCCCUGAAAACCAAGGAAAAGAAUGCUUAUGCGACGCUGAAGGAGCUGGCCGCCUUCUCGACGCCCUUCCUGGCGCCCUUGAACCACCUCUUGUCGCCGGCCUGCGCCUUGCAGAUGUAGAGCUUGCCGUCCGAGACGGUGGCCGUGAUGAGCUGGUGCUUGCCGCCCUCGUCGCCGUCCGCCGUCCUCGUCAGCACCGACACGCUGUAGUACUGCUUCCCGUCCACCACCGGCGCCGAGCUCUCCAGGAUGUUGGCUGUCGCCACCGCGUCGGUCUCGAACCCGCCCUGCACGCGCAAGCACAGGUAAAUAGCCGUCGCCGAAUGAAUCAGAGAUUAAUUAGAUGCAGCAUGUGAACUAGUAGAACUAGAACAAACCUCGGAGUCAGUCUUGCCGCUGUAGGCCUGCUUGCCGAGGAGGUAGUCGACCUGGGCGAGGAACUGCUCCGGGGAGCCGAACUCGGUGAUGGUCUUCUUGGUGGUGGGCUGGACCAUGACGGAGACGUUGCUGUUGGCGUCGAAGUUGUCCUCGUAGCGGAGGACCUGGCCGGGGAACUCGCGCUCCUUGCUGGGGUUCCACUUGGACGGGAUCAGCAGCUUGAACCCGUCGCCGCUGUAGGCGAUGAAGUCCGUGUUCGCCUUGGGCUUCCCGAACACGUUGGCUGCAACCAAGCAAGCAAGCGCGAUUGCAAUCAAGAUUCAAUAACCGACCGAGAUCCAUCAAGCUACCCAGGAGCUGAGACAUUAAGCGCGUGUUGUUACCUGCUUCUCCGUAGGCGGCGGCGGCGGGGCUCACCUUGGCGCCGACGGCGGCGACGCCGGCGAGGAGCGUGAGCGCGGCGCGGCGGGUGACCGCGGCGGCGUCACCGCUCUCGGCGGCGGCGUCCUGCCUCUGCGCCUUGCAGACGAGCUGGGCCCGCGGCACCUGGGGGCGCGCCGAGGCGGCGGCGGCGCCGAGGCGAGCGGUGGACUGGAGGAGGAAGCAGGAGGUGGACGCCAUGGCUGCCGCUCGUUGCUCGCUAGCUGGCUCCUGCUGCUGCUGCUACUAUCUUCCUCUAGAAGACUU